AGAUGGUGUACAGAUACAUGCAACAAUUGAGGUUUCAUGUGCAAGGAAGCAAAGAAGAUGCGAGACCGUUUUUCUUUUGGAAUAGAAGAAUCAAAGGAUACACCGACCGAUUAAAGGUUAGAAGACAUGCCAAAUAAUGGAUACUUCUCAAUCAAAUGAACAAACAUGAUAUCCGCCGAGCUUCCAGACUGAAGGGAUAGAUAACCACAACUUCUAAUGACCUAUACCAGCGAUUGAUUGUAGCAUACUGGAUUCCUAAUGCUGACAGGAAUAGCCGCCAUGGCGAUAUUUACAGGCUGUGCACUGAGAUCGAAUAGUCUACAUCAUGCCUCUGGUCGGAACAAAUGGCCAAUGAUGUGUGCAAGGACGGAAAGAGGCAGUCGAUCAACGCUGAAGACGUCUUCAAGGCGCUCGAUGAGAUCGAGUUCCCAGAGUUUGUAGAUCCCCUGAGGACUGCACUGUUAGGAGGUUUGGUAGGUUUGAGCAUCUGACUUAUAAUGUAGGUUGAUGGUGUUUGGCAUUAUUGGUUCAAUCCACGUGGAGGUCCUCGCCGUCAUUGCAGCUGCGGGACAAGACGGCAAGGAGUUUGUGCGCCUGCCUUACCUCGGUUCAAUCCACGUGGAGGUCCUCGCCUGCCUUACUUCUGAGUCACUCUCUCUAGAAGCAGGAAUGAUUAUACUUCAACCGACCAUGCUCAGCCUAGAAUAACACCACAACAUACAGUAGUAGUUAAGCAACAAAACCUAAGCACUUCCCGUCAUUGUUUGCU